rnacentral:rRNA from 1 species
UAGAGUAAUGCGUGACCAACCUGCCCCAUGCUCCAGAAUAGCUCUUGGAAACGGGUGGUAAUGCUGGAUGCUCCAACUUGACGCAUGUCUUGUUGGGAAAGUGUUUAGUGGCAUGGGAUGGGGUCGCGUCCUAUCAGCUUGUAGGCGGGGUAAUGGCCCACCUAGGCUUCGACGGGUAGCCGGCCUGAGAGGGCGGACGGCCACAUUGGGACUGAGAUACGGCCCAGACUCCUACGGGAGGCAGCAGCU